UUUUGGGGCGGUGUUUACGGACUCUUCUUCUCUGCCUCCGCCCUGCUCUUGGCUGGGGUUUCGUAGUCUAUUCUGUUUUCCAGCCAGACCCAGAAAAAACGAAAACACAGCUUGGGAAGCCCCCCUCAGUCGGCGCCUGUGCCAGCUCACCUCUGGCGGUGGCGCGGUUGCUGGUGCACGCGUCGGCCAAGGCCAGCUCUACAUUCUUCCCUCCCCCGCCCACUUCACCGGAGCCGGGAGACCAGCGAACAGAGGAAGGGCCUCAGCUCCAGACUGCCAAAGUCGACUGGGUCCCUCCACACCAAAAAUGGUGAGACAAGAUUUCAUCUUGUCCUCUGAGGAGCCACAAGCAG
rnacentral:lncRNA from 1 species